CGGCACGCUUAACACAUGCAAGUCGAACGGAGUUAUCGAGAGCUUGCUUUGAUAACUUAGUGGCGGACGGGUGAGUAACACGUGAGCAAUCUGCCCUUAAGAGGGGGAUAGCAGUUGGAAACGACUGAUAAUACCGCAUAAGAUAGUAGUACCGCAUGGUACAGCUAUAAAAGAUUUAUCGCUUAAGGAUGGGCUCGCGUCUGAUUAGGCUAGUUGGUGAGGUAACGGCUCACCAAGGCAACGAUCAGUAGCCGGACUGAGAGGUUGGACGGCCACAUUGGGACUGAGACACGGCCCAGACUCCUACGGGAGGCAGCAGUGGGGAAUAUUGCACAAUGGAGGGAACUCUGAUCGCAGCGAUGCCGCGUGAGGGAAGAAGGUUUUAGGAUUGUAAACCUCUGUUGACAGGGACGAUAAUGACGGUACCUGUUGAGGAAGCUCCGGCUAACUACGUGCCAGCAGCCGC
rnacentral:rRNA from 1 species